AUGCUCAGCUGGUGGGGAGAUUCCNUGGUCAUGAGGUGNUUUUACCAUGAUGAGUCUUAUGUAUUGCACCCCACUGUGCUGACUCCCAUGAUUUCCUCAAAUUUAGGAAACCUGAAUGCUUACUUUGUGCUAGUGGGGACUGUGUUAAUGCUCUUCGCU
rnacentral:snRNA from 11 species